AGAUAGGUAGCUUAGUAGUAGAGCGCUAUAGACUUAUAUUAGUAGAUAGAACUUAGCUUAGGUUAUUUUACUUUCUAUAUACGCUUACUGUCUUAUUAUAAUAUCUAUUUAUAGAGAUUCUAGGUUUAAUCUCUAGCUUAUCUA